AGAACUUAGCAGAGAUGCUUUGGUGCCCUUCGGGAACUCUGAGACAGGUGCUGCAUGGCUGUCGUCAGCUCGUGUUGUGAAAUUGGUUUGGGGUUUAACGUCCCGCAACGAGCGCAACCCUUAUCCUUUGUUGCCAGCGGUUAGGCCGGGAACUCAAAGGAGACUGCCAGUGAUAACUGGAGGAAGGUGGGGAUGACGUCAAGUCAUCAUGGCCCUUACGAGUAGGGCUACACACGUGCUACAAUGGCGCAUACAAAGAGAAGCGACCUCGCGAGAGCAAGCGGACCUCAUAAAGUGCGUCGUAGUCCGGAUUGGAGUCUGCAACUCGACUCCAUGAAGUCGGAAUCGCUAGUAAUCGUGGAUCAGAAUGCCACGGUGAAUACGUUCCCGGGCCUUGUACACACCGCCCGUCACACCAUGGGAGUGGGUUGCAAAAGAAGUAGGUAGCUUAACCUUCGGGAGGGCGCUUACCACUUUGUGAUUCAUGACUGGGGUGAAGUCGUAACAAGGUAAGCGUAGUGCU
rnacentral:rRNA from 1 species